UGUCAUGUUUAGAAAUGAGGGCUCCUGAUAGUUCACAUGGCUUCAUUUAGGACGUGAUCCAAGGGCUGGUGGUCACAGCUGGAGACUUUAUGCUGUCUUUGAUGGAUUUUGGAUCAGCCUGAGUGGAUUUUGGUACAUCUUCAAUCAUGUUGCACGAGGGCUGCUCCUUCAGCAGGACAGGCAAGGACCAAAUGCCUGAGCAUCUUCAGGCAGCGGAGGGGCAGCGCUGAGGACCAGG
rnacentral:lncRNA from 1 species